GACAGAGGGGGCAAGCGUUGCUCGGAAUCACUGGGCGUAAAGGGCGCGUAGGCGGGAUGGCAAGUCGGUCGUGAAAGCCUUCGGCUCAACCGAAGAACGUCGGCCGAUACUGCCGUUCUUGAGGGAUGCAGAGGAGACUGGAAUUCCCGGUGUAGCGGUGAAAUGUGUAGAGAUCGGGAGGAACACCGGUGGCGAAGGCGGGUCUCUGGGCAUUUCCUGACGUUGAGGCGCGAAAGCGUGGGGAGCAAACGGG
rnacentral:rRNA from 1 species